UUCAACGUACGCUUGCAAUCAAAAUUACAUCUUACGACAUGUCGCAACUAACAAUUUAGUAAAAAUAAUUUGUUGAUAUCUUAUACAGUCUUUGGAUAUAAGUGAAAAUAAGCCAAAUUCAAAUAUUAGAAUAUGACCUUGACUUUUGACAUUGACCUAAUUUUCAUUUUGGGACCAAGGACAUCAAAUCAAAAGAUCCUAGGUCUCUAUCACUUAUGAUUUAUAAGAUAGAAAUUCAUAUCACUUAUAUCAGAUGCAUAAGGGGAAAUAACUCUCAUAUGGAGCGGUCAUAUCGCUUCGGUCAAAAUAGGACAAAUCAUGCCAAGGAUAUAACGAGCAAUUUUGUAAAAUAAAUUUGUCAUAAUCUUUUACGGUUGCGAAGGAGAUGCGCUAACAAGGAAAACAGUGUUUGGGGAGAUAACUCCUACAAAGAAAAGUAUUCGUUUACGCAGGGUAAAUUUCAAAAGCGCAUAAACUGUUCGAUAUCAUAUACCAAAUAUCUAAGCGACAUAUUGCGAAACAAAUGUUUAUCGCAAGAACAAAAUUAGGCGGAAGAAAAAAAAAAAAAAAAUAAUCAGAAGAAAAACAAUAGGUCUUUCCACAGAAAAGUGGAAAGACCUAAUUACAAGA
rnacentral:lncRNA from 1 species